GACGAACGCUGGCGGCGUGCUUAACACAUGCAAGUCGAACGAUGAUGCCAGCUUGCUGGUGGAUUAGUGGCGAACGGGUGAGUAACACGUGAGCAACCUGCCCCUGACUUCGGGAUAACCGCGGGAAACCGUGGCUAAUACCGGAUAUGACGCGCUAUCGCAUGGUGGUGUGUGGAAAGAUUUAUCGGUUGGGGAUGGGCUCGCGGCCUAUCAGCUUGUUGGUGGGGUGAUGGCCUACCAAGGCGGCGACGGGUAGCCGGCCUGAGAGGGUGACCGGCCACACUGGGACUGAGACACGGCCCAGACUCCUACGGGAGGCAGCAGUGGGGAAUAUUGCACAAUGGGCGCAAGCCUGAUGCAGCGACGCCGCGUGAGGGAUGACGGCCUUCGGGUUGUAAACCUCUUUCAGUAGGGAAGAAGGCCUUCGGGUUGACGGUACCUGCAGAAGAAGCGCCGGCUAACUACGUG
rnacentral:rRNA from 1 species